rnacentral:tRNA from 1 species
GCUCAUAUAGCUUAAUAAAAGCAUAGCACUGAAAAUGCUAAAAUAGAUAUUAAUAUAUCUUGUAAGCA